CGGGCAAAGACUAUGUUGUGCAUUUUUCCUACUUUUCUUAUCAUUUUCGUUUGUCUUCAAUGAAGGUUUAUUUUAUUUUUUCCCAUAUUUUUAUCUCUGUGGUCGUUGAACCAUAAGAAGUUUGGAAAUAUUUACUUGAGAAUCCAUUGUUUUAAAAUCCUCUUGCAAUAUCGGUCUUCGUGAAUUUCACUUGAAGUGCAAUAUCAAAUCCAUGUCAUUAUUGUUGUGCCGGUUAAAUCGUAUUAUAGUACCUGAAUAAAAAGUACUUCACAAUUAUUUUCAAGUCGUAUCCCUUCCACCGCGCAAAAAUGUAUACCAUAAAAGAUAUACAAUAUUUACUAUAUUUUUGAACGACCUUAAAUGUCCUAAUAAACCUUUGCCGUAGAAAUGUAAAAACAUUUUUUAGCUUUCGACUACAACAUUUCAUCACAACAGAUAAAAAUGAAAAACAAUUUUUUCAAUCCAUCAGGUGGAAAAGCUUUGGACUGUUCGGACCGAACGUCCGAAAAUUGGGUUAGGAGUUCGAACGGAUGGAAGAACUCCAUCGGACAAAUUCGGUCAAAUUUCUACAACGCUGUGCCUUUUCAUCGUUGUAGCCAACUGAUGUAAGCAAGUGUACUACGAACGAAAUGUCAAAAUCAAUGUCAAAUUAGUCAACAGUUGUUUACUAUGAAAAAUGCUUAAAAUUGCGAUGUGCGUAUGGCGUCGUUCGCGUUUUUGGUUCGCCGAAUAUCUCGAAAAAUUUAAAAGAUACAGUACGCCCCCGCAAAUUAGAAACCCGAAAAUUAGAAAACCUCAGAAAUUAGAAAUGAAUUUCAGGUUUGAAAAUUUGUAUGGAAAAUUUCUAAUUUCCGGGGUUCAUUUCUAAUUCACGGGGUUUCCGAAUCAUUCCAUUCAAGACAAAUGGAAAUUUACUUCAUUUUUAAUGAAAAAACGUAAUGAAAGUCUUUUUCAUUUCAUUGAAUAACUAUAUUAGCAGAUCAGCUGAGAUUUUCGACGUUUACCAUGAAGUUAAAAAUUCAGUCACGAAGUAUUCUGUUCCAUAUUGUCUGCGUCAAUCAUCAAUCAUUAACAAAUCGAAACCGAUUUGUUCCAUCAGAGAAUUUGCAUAUACGAAAUUGUAUAUAGAAUGCUAACGUUUUCUGUUUACUAUCGCAUGAUAUAAUAAGAAAAGCCGGUCAUCAUUUAUUUCGGUUUGUUCCCAGGAGUAGUUUAUCCAGUAAAAUAAACUAACAGACUUACUAUAUAUUUAUAAUCACUAAAAUAACUGCUUAUAUACAUACAAUACUUGAUUGAACAGUGUUCAAUAUAUCGUUUUCAAUUAAGCAAAUCAUUCCCCCUAUCAGUUUAUCAUUUGAUACACCGUUUUUGGAUGAAAUUGAAAAAACCUGAGAUAUUAGAAAACUCCGCAAAUUGGAAAUGGUCUCGGGACAUUUCAUUUCUAAUUUGCGGGGGCGUACUGUAAUUGAGAUCUGUAAAAGCCAGAAGUUUUGGCAUGUCAAGUCCAAGCUUCGGAUUGGUUUUGAGCCCACUCUGACUUACCAAUUUCGUUCCAUACGCCUCCGACUGAGGACCUCAAAAACCUAGAAAAAUUACACUUUUGUAUGGGAAGUACCCGAAAAAAGCAUUUUGCAGGGUUUUGGUCCAGGCAAACUUAUGUUUUUUUGCAAAAAUAAUGGGAGUCAACCGAACACCUACUUUAGCAUAAAUUUCGUCCGAAAUCGACAUUUUUUAAAAUGUUUCCCGAAAAUUACACUUUUGUGUGACAAAUCUCUCAGAAAGCCAUUUUGUUGGGUUUCGAUCAAAGCAAACUGCCAUUGUUUUGUAAAAAUAAUGCGAGUCUUUGAACAAUCAAACACCUACUUAUUUACCGUACGAAUUCCGACUGCUUGAAUUAUUACGCUGAAAGAGCGGAGAAAGAUAGCACAAAUAUCACUUGUCCAUAAUGUGAUAUGUGGAAAUACUUCAUCGAAAUACAUUUUGAGCAAAAUAAGUUUUAAAACACCGCGACAUUGGACAAGAAACUCAGAUUUCCUCCCAUUACCGACGCAUCAAAAUUGCUAUUCUAAGUUUGAACCUAUUAAUUAUAUGUUGAGUACAAACAAUGAAUUUUACAAAUACUUUGUUCCUAUCAAGCCGCCUAAUUUACCAGAUGAAUGUAAUAUUACUACUAUUCCGAAUUGUGAUACUUAUUUAAUUGAUUUUAACACAAGUACAAAUACUGUAAAACAGAGAGUAGCUAACUAUUUUAAGCGAAACAGAAUUUGGAGAGAGUAAAGUCAAAUAGAAUGAAUUAUCCCAUUGUAAAUAUUGUAAAUAUAACAACAUUUAUUUAUGCUAAAUAAACCACCUCUGGCGAAGAAACGCUGUAUGGUGCAGAACAAUAAUAAUAAUAAUAAUAAUAUA